rnacentral:lncRNA from 1 species
CAGUUACAAAACAACUCAUUUCUGAUUGUGACUUAACCCCAAACUUAACUCUUAUGCGUUUGAUUCAGUCCUGGUGCACCCUUAAUGCUUCACACGGCGUAGAAAGAAUCCCCACCCCUAAACCUCCCAUCAGUAAACAACAGAUCGCUAAGCUUCUCAAAGAUGCUAAGUCACCUCAGCAACAGCUUAAGUGUUUAAGGAAGUUACGUUCCAUAGCCAAUGUCAACGAUACAAACAAAAGAUGCAUGGAGGCUGCUGGUGCUGUUGAGUUCUUGGCUUCCAUUGUUAACAACUUUACUUCUUUGUCGUUCGAAGAGUCUUCUCUAGAUGGUGCUGGGAUCGAGAUUGCAAGACUAAGUGACGAGGCCUUGAGCAUUCUUUAUAGUCUUCAAUUAUCCGAAUCGGGUCUCAGGAAUCUUAUAGGAAAGAAUGGAGAAGUCAUUCAAUCUUUAACAAGAGUGAUGCAAAAUGGAAACUACGAGUCUCGAGCUUAUGCAGUUUUGCUGUUGAAAUCAGCACUCGAGGUUGCUGAUCCGAUGCAACUUGUAAGUUUGAGACCUGAACUUUUCGUCGAGAUAGUUCAAGUUUUAAGUGACCAAAUCUCCCAUCAAGCAUCCAAAGCUGCAUUGCAGCUGCUCAUCAAUCUUUGUCCAUGGGGAAGAAGUAGACUCAAAGCAACCGAGGCGAAAGCAGUGUCUACUUUGAUCGAUCUUCUUCUUGAUUCAUCAGAGAAACGGACUUGCGAAAUGGCGCUAGCAGUGCUUGAUUUGCUAUGCCAAUGCGCAGAAGGAAGAGCUGAAUUGUUAAAGCACGGAGCUGGAUUAGCAGUUGUUUCAAAGAAGAUAUUAAGAGUUUCUCAGGUGGCAAGUGAGAAGGCAGUGAGGAUUCUUUUAUCAAUUUCAAAAUUCUCAGCAACUUCUACUGUUUUACAUGAAAUGUUGCAGAUUGGUGUUGUGGCCAAAUUGUGUUUGGUGCUCCAAGUAGACUGUGGCAGCAAGGGCAAAGAUAAGGCCAGGGAAGUGCUUAAAUUGCAUGCUAGAGCCUGGAAGAAUUCUCCUUGCAUACCUGCAAAUCUUCUAUCUUCUUAUCCAGCUUAACUGUCAGAAAGAAAGCAUCAAUUAGACCCAUACUUUCUGAAUUGUAAUUGGCCAAUUAGUAUGUACAUAAUUCCUAUAGAUAAGCAAAAAAUACAUACAUGGAUACAAAAUUUGUAUCCAUUCGUAUACAUUUGAUGGAAGAUGUAGUUUUUUCUAUUUUGGAGGAAAUUAAUGAUUAUCAACAAAGUUGAGAUCUUUUUACAAAUACAAGUCACUUGAAGCCAAUAUUGAUCUUUUUCAAUUUUGUUCUUAUAUAUGUGACAGCAGUCUCUAUUUUAUUCUAACUCCUAUCAAUUUCAUUUUUAACAAGUCUCUGAAUCUUAGUUUUAUGAUAUUCAUUUUAUACUUUGGAGAUGGGUUUUUUUUAUCCUUUUCUUUGAUAUUAGUAUGAAAAGAUUAAACUAGAACUACCACUAAACGGAAAAUAUGUUUAGCAUCUACCACUUAAAGGAAAUACGUUCAACUUAUGCAAUGAAUUAUAUUUUCUUUUAGCCAAGAAUAUCCUCGCAGGAAAGCAUAGGACCACGUCUAAUUUAGAGCCAAGAACAUCAAGGAUGCGUCUUUUCUUUAAGGCCAACCAGGCUGAUUGUAGAGAGAUAAAAGAUGUGCUUGCUGGUUAUGAGAAGGCAUCCGGUCAGGGUACUAAUAAGCAGAAAUCUUCUCUUUAUUUCAGCAGUAAUGUUGGUGAGGUUAUUAGAUCUUAUAUUCGGUUUGGGUUGGGUAUUAUCCGUGAUGGUGGUCAUGAGAUGUAUAUUGGGCUUCCUUCUCUUAUUGGCAGGAAUAAGAGGCAAGUCUGCCUCUUCUCUUUUAUUAAAGACAAGGAUUGGCAUCGUUUUCUUGGUUGGAGAAAGAAAUAUUUGUCUAGGGUGGGUAAAGAGAUUCCUUUGGAAACAAUGACCUUUGUGCUGAACUAGAAAGGACGAUGAACUCCUUUUGGUGGAGAUUGGGAGGGGGCACUUCUAGAGGUAUAAGGACGAUGAACUCUAAGGGCCUGUGCACUGUUAGAAGCUAUUAUAAGGCUAGUGUGGGUUAGUUCCGAGCUGUUAAUAGUUUGCAUUCUUCUCAAGUUUGGAGGAAGUAAUGGCGACUGAAAAUUCCUCCAAAAGUGAAGAAUAUGGUUUGGAGAGCUGCUUCAAGGUAUAUACCUACAGCUGAUAUCCUCAAUGCCAGAUAUAUUAAUGUUAAUCCCUCGUGUUCUCUUUGUAAUCGUGCUAGUGAAUCAGUCGUUCAUUUUCUUAUCACUUGUGCUUUUCCUCUUGCUUGUUGGUCCCUUUCUUUUAUUGGAAUUCAAUCGCAUGCCCCUUCUUUCUUUGACUGGAUUUCUAACUUGUUCAACAGAUUAAGUGAUGAGGAGAUGUCUCUGGUUUUGAUGAUUUGUUAGGCUGUUUGGAGGGCGAUGAAUGAUAAAGUCUGGAACUCAAACUCUUUCCCUGCUGGUCAAGUGGUAAAUUUUGUGCGCUUUUAUUUAUUCAGCUAGCAGGUGGCUCAGAUUACUACGUUCUUCUCUAGCAAUCAGUCUUGUGAUAGGAUUAACUCUUGUGUCGAUUAUUUGGUUUGAGCUUUCCUAUUAUUAGUUAAAAGUUAAUGUUGAUGCUGUAAUCUUUGGCCGAGAGAACAAUAUAGGUUAGGGAAUGAUUGCUCGGGAUGGUAGUGGUUCUAUUAUUGCAGCUAGAGCUCUGUCACUCAAUGGUUGUUUUGAAGUUAGAGUUGUUGAGGCAAUGGGAGUGCGUGAAGCUUUAAGUCAGGUCAAGCAAUAGGUUGGAAUGUUGUUGUUUUGGAAAUGGAUGCAUUGGUUGUUUACCAAUCCUUGCAACAACAACAAGGAACUGAUACUUCUAGCUAUGGAUUGGUUUAGAUUCUAUUUCUGAUUUCAUAGACUUUAGGUUCUUCUUUGUGCGACGUUCUGCAAAUUGUGUAGUUCACUCCUUGGCCCGAAAGUUGUUGGUUCUUGAAAGAGCCUAUUACUUGGUUGCAUAGUUCUCUAAUUUUAAUUUCUGAUGUAUUAGUUGUUGACUUGUUAUUUUAAUGCAAUAUUCUUUUUCAGAAAAAUAAAAGAAUGCUUGUGUAUGUGCUUCUCCUCUUUCUUCCUAAUUUCUUUUUGUUCAUCUUUUGGCUCAUUGAUCAUUUUUAGAUUGCCAAUAGCCUCCUUUUCUUUUUAUUUUCUAUUAGUUAGUUUUAAUAAAUAAAUAUUAGUAUUUUAUUGAGGAGUUGUAUGGUUAUCUGGACUGUUAAGUUUUUCUUUUAUAGAAGUUCUAUGGUCUACCAUUAUAAGGGUGUUGAAAAUUCUCUUUAUAGGAGUGGUGAAAAGAAAAAAGAGAUUUAAUAUGAUAUUCAAGCAAUCGGUCUCAUCAAAAGAUACUUAUAAAUUCUAUAUGUGGCGUAGUGCCACCAAAUGAAACGUUCUUUCUGCAAAAUUGUAAUUUACUGCUCCAUCAAUGUUGGGCAUAAUAUAAAUAACAUGUAAAGAUAAUCAACAAAAAGGACAUGAGUAAUUUAAUGUGGUUCACCCUUUGAUUUGAGCCACAUCUAUGGGACAAAUUUUGAAUAAUUUUCUUCCACUAUUAAAAUAGUAGGUACAAUGAGAGAGUUUUCUCUAGAUAAUUUUCUAGAAUUAGUACAACAAGUGAGAUAAACCUAAAAAUUAUGGCACUCAAGGUGUUUCCUAAAACCCCAACUAUUUUUCCUUACUAUUUUUGUCACUCUCCUUUUUUAGAAAACUUUUCUCACACUCACUCUCUCACAACACUUAAAUUAUCAAAGGAAUUUUUGUUUCUUUGGCUUGCUUGCUUGCCUGCCUGCAUGCAGAGCAUGCACUUCUUGCCUUUAUAUAGGCAAGAGUGCUUGCUCCCUAAGCACUAAAAUUUGGCCUUUUAUAAGGCCACGUCUCUAGCCACUGUUAUGGCCAUAAUUUUUUUUAUUUCUUUUGUAAUUAGAUUUGGUAGGCCCUCAAUAAAAUAGAACUCAAAUCUAACAAAUCUCCCAUUCCCGACUAUAUUAAGGACUCCAUCAUCCCCGCAGCAUCUCAACAGAACUCGAGCUUCUCUCUGGGUAGAAUUCUUAUUAACAUGUCUGAUCCAUUCUCAUCAGUAUGAAUCUUUUCAAGCUGUAAUAGCUCCUCUCUAGCACAUCCCUAAUUCAAUGAUAUCUCACAUCAAUAUGCUUUGAUCUUGAAUGAAAGGAGGAAUUCUUCCCAAGGUGAAUAACACUCUAGCUAUCACAAAUUAGCCGGUAUCUGUCCUGCGGAAGACCAAGUUCAUUUAAGAACUUCUUCAUCCAUAGCAACUCCUUACACGCUUUUAUUGCUGCUAUAAACUCCACUUCAACAGUGAAGAGUGCAACACAUUUCUGUAAUUUUGACUGUCAUGACACAUCUCUCCCUGCAAAUGUAAUCAGGUACCCUGAAUUACUUCUUCUUGAGUCCACAUCGCCGACCAUAUUUGCAUCUAUGUAACNNNGUCAACUUCCGACUGCUGAAGCAUAUGGUAUCUUUUCCACUUCUUCCUUCUCUUUAUCUAUAGAAGGGCUCUGUUUAAUACUUAGCUUAAAGUGAUUAGCAAGAAGACAACUAAUCGUUUUAGCCUUGUCCAUAUUAAAUCUUUAAAGUACUCUUUUUUAAUGUACUUUUAUUGUGAAAACCAUAAUUUUUUGCCACCUUUGUCUCUGAUAAUCUUUAUGCCAAGAAUAUACUUUGCUGUUCCCAAGUCUUUCAUGGCAAAAUAUUUGCUCAACUGUUUUUUCAAGCUUUCAGUUCUAGAAAUAUUUCGGCCAACAAUUAAUAAAUCAACUACAUAGAGCAAAAGAAUAAUGAAAUCAUUAUCAGAGUGUUUAUGCACAAAAAUACAAUGGUCUAAAGUAGUUUUCUUAUAGCCUUACUCCCCCGUAAAAGACUCGAACUUCUUGUACCAUUGUCUCGAUGCCUUUUUUUAAGCCGUAUAGGCUUUUCUUCAGUUUGCAAAUAUAGUCCUAUUUUCCCUUUUGCUGGAAAUCUUCUAGCUGCUGCAUGUAUAUUUCUUCUUCCAAAUCUCCAUGUAGGAAGUCAAUUCGUUUUCUUUGGCUGAAUCCUUAACAACUGGUCUGGUUUUGAGUCUCAUAUGGGUACUGCGUUCUUCAUGCUUAAUUCUGAACACCCAUUUAUUUUUCAAAGCCUUCUUGGAUUUUGGCAACUUCACCAGCUCAAAUGUCUUAUUGUCAUGCAAGCACUUCAUCUCAUCUUACAUGGCUUCAAUCCAUUGCUGCUUGGAUUCAUCAUCCAUGGCUUCUUUAAAAUUUUGAUACUUAAAUUUUUUUUUGACAUGUGUAUUUAUAUUUUGACAUAUAAAACUUUUAUUUUGUCAUGUAUACUUAUUUUUUAUAUAUGAAAAUUUUGUGAUUUUUUCUAGUAAUUGAUUGUUAAUAAAUUACAUUUCUAACUAAGCACUGAUUUUAAUCAUAAUAAAUUAUAUUUUAAUUAAUAGAUUAAUUUUUUAAAUAGAUAUGAUCUAAUUUUAUUCUAAAAAAUAAUAUAUCAGUUAUAUUUUAAUAUUAUAUCGAUAAAUUAAUUUUCUAAUUAAAUAAUAAUUUUAAUUUAAAAAAUAAUAUUUUAAAUAAUAUUUUGAAUAUUAUAUCUACUAAUAAACUAACUUUAAUUAUAUAAUAAUUACUAAACCUAAAAACUGGUAAUAUUAAAUAUAUAUUAAUUGAAGUAUUUUAUUUUAUUUUAUUUUAUAAGUACAUUAAUUUAAAACAUUAAAAAUAAAAUAUUUAAUUUGCAAUCUUGUAUAUAUUAUAUAUAAAUAACAAAUAUCAAUAAUUUAAUUUAAAAAUUUAAUUAAAAAAUUAAAAUAAUAGCAACGGAUAAACUAUUAAACCCUUAAGACAACUAGCUGGCUGUAGAUGGUCAAAUAUCGAAUACUCGGUAAGAGCAGUAGAAAGGGGAAUGCAUGGAGUGAAGGAAGGAGUAGGCAGCAGCCAUGACAAUGCACCCAAUGGCUCAAUUUAUGACCCCAUCUUUGUCGGCACCUCCUCUCCAUCAAACUUUCUCUGCCAACGUAAAAGACUCCUAUGGAAAUGUUCUCACUCUUUACUGUUACUUCUAUAAAUUUUCUUAAAAAUAUUUUCAGUGUUAAAACUCUCUUUUCAAAAAAAGAAAUUUAAGAAUUAUAUUUUUUUAGGGAAACAGAUUUGCUAAAAAAGUAUUGCUAAGGGUAACUUCAAAUUAAUUAUAAAUAUAAAUUUGACAUACAUAUUAUUUCUUUAUUAUAUAAAUGUAACACACUCAAAAUAUUUAUUAAGAAGUAAUUAAAUUGGCCUACCUUUCUCUCAUUUCAUUCACCCAUUCAAUUAUUUACUGGGUAAAGUUUGUCAUUCUAAUAUAAUCUCCAGCCAUUCUAUGCCAUAAGAAAAGUCAUAAAAUAUCAAAGAAAAGUCAUACCCUUCUGUCUCUCAACGCUUGUAAUUUCCGUGUUUUGACUUUGAAAACAGAAACAUGCGCCUCUCAUUCUUCUCAACUCAUAUAAAACCUAACCCUCUCUUCCUUUGCCUUCUCCAAGAACCGGAAAAGGAAAAACAAUCAAACAUCGCAUCUUCAACACCUACACAACCAACCUCUCAGAUUCUCUUAACUUUCUCUUUUGGGUUUCUUUUCUUCAAAUCUAAUCACUCCCUCUUCACCCCUUUCAUCAGAGUUUUUCCAAAUGGAAGAUAUUGAUGUCCCUUCUUUCUUUCUCUGCCCCAUCUCUCUCCAGCUCAUGACAGAUCCAGUUACAGUGCCAACUGGUAUAACUUAUGAUCGCCAGAGUAUAGAGAAAUGGCUCUUCGCAGGCAAGAAUCACACAUGUCCAGUUACAAAACAACUCAUUUCUGAUUGUGACUUAACCCCAAACUUAACUCUUAUGCGUUUGAUUCAGUCCUGGUGCACCCUUAAUGCUUCACACGGCGUAGAAAGAAUCCCCACCCCUAAACCUCCCAUCAGUAAACAACAGAUCGCUAAGCUUCUCAAAGAUGCUAAGUCACCUCAGCAACAGCUUAAGUGUUUAAGGAAGUUACGUUCCAUAGCCAAUGUCAACGAUACAAACAAAAGAUGCAUGGAGGCUGCUGGUGCUGUUGAGUUCUUGGCUUCCAUUGUUAACAACUUUAC